rnacentral:lncRNA from 1 species
CGCGAAGUGAGCGCCUGCUGGGUGCAGAGACCCUGGCCAGCGGCGCCCCGCCCUGCUAGAGCACGUCCCUGGCAAUUGAGGAGCAAGGAGCAGAGCGGCGCCCCGAGCCGGGAUUCCUUCCUUCAACCGGCGAUUUUUGCGCCUCGGAGCCAGGCUCUGCAAGCAGCGCACUUCCUGACCAUCGUGGAGCCGCGGUGCCCGUAGAAGUCCAUUUUCCGAGCUCCCCAAGAGAGACAACCCCAAGGCGAGGUAGGUGG